GGGAAACUCGGAUUAAUACCGGAUAGCCCUCCCGACUCUCGAGUCGGUCCGAAAAGGUAGCUUCGGCCUCUGGCCGAGGAUGGGUCCGCGGCGGAUUAGCUUGUUGGUGGGGUAACGGCCUACCAAGGCUUCGAUCCGUAGCUGGUCUGAGAGGACGAUCAGCCACACUGGGACUGAGACACGGCCCAGACUCCUACGGGAGGCAGCAGUGGGGAAUCUUGCGCAAUGGGCGAAAGCCUGACGCAGCGACGCCGCGUGAGGGAAGAAGGCCUUCGGGUUGUAAACCUCUUUCAGGAGGGACGAAGCUACUCGGGUGAAUAGCCCAGAGGGUGACGGUACCUCCAGAAGAAGCCCCGGCUAACUACGUGCCAGCAGCCGCGGUAAUACGUAGGGGGCAAGCGUUGUCCGGAUUUACUGGGCGUAAAGAGCGUGUAGGCGGCCAUACAGGACCGUUGUGAAAACUGGAGGCUUAACCUCCAGACGUCGACGGAAACCGUGUGGCUAGAGUCCGGAAGAGGAGAGUGGAAUUCCUGGUGUAGCGGUGAAAUGCGCAGAUAUCAGGAAGAACACCAAUGGCGAAGGCAGCUCUCUGGGACGGUACUGACGCUGAGACGCGAAAGCGUGGGGAGCGAACAGGAUUAGAUACCCUGGUAGUCCACGCCGUAAACGAUGGGUGCUAGGUGUGGGAGGUGUCGACUCCUUCCGUGCCGUAGCUAACGCAUUAAGCACCCCGCCUGGGGAGUACGGCCGCAAGGCUAAAACUCAAAGGAACUGACGGGGCCCCGCACAAGCAGCGGAGCAUGUGGUUUAAUUCGAUGCAACGCGAAGAACCUUA
rnacentral:rRNA from 1 species